rnacentral:rRNA from 1 species
CCCCGGUAAACGGCGGCCGUAACUAUAACGGUCCUAAGGUAGCGAAAUUCCUUGUCGGGUAAGUUCCGACCUGCACGAAUGGCGUAAUGAUGGCCAGGCUGUCUCCACCCGAGACUCAGUGAAAUUGAACUCGCUGUGAAGAUGCAGUGUACCCGCGGCAAGACGGAAAGACCCCGUGAACCUUUACUAUAGCUUGACACUGAACAUUGAGCCUUGAUGUGUAGGAUAGGUGGGAGGCUUUGAAGUGUGGACGCCAGUCUGCAUGGAGCCGACCUUGAAAUACCACCCUUUAAUGUUUGAUGUUCUAACGUGGACCCGUAAUCCGGGUUGCGGACAGUGUCUGGUGG